GUGGCGAAAGCGGCUCUNUGGUCUGUCACUGACGCUGAGGCUCGAAAGCGUGGGUAGCGAACAGGAUUAGAUACCCUGGUAGUNCACGCCGUAAACGAUGAGUGCUAGGUGUUAGGCCCUUUCCGGGGCUUAGUGCCGGAGCUAACGCAAUAAGCACUCCGCCUGGGGAGUACGACCGCAAGGUUGAAACUCAAAGGAAUUGACGGGGGCCCGCACAAGCGGUGGAGCAUGUGGUUUAAUUCGAAGCAACGCGAAGAACCUUACCAGGUCUUGACAUCCCGAUGCUAUUCUUAGAGAUAGGAAGUUACUUCGGUACAUCGGAGACAGGUGGUGCAUGGUUGUCGUCAGCUCGUGUCGUGAGAUGUUGGGUUAAGUCCCGCAACGAGCGCAGCCCUUAUUGUUAGUUGCCAUCAUUAAGUUGGGCACUCUAGCGAGACUGCCGGUAAUAAACCGGAGGAAGGUGGGGAUGACGUCAAAUCAUCAUGCCCCUUAUGACCUGGGCUACACACGUGCUACAAUGGUCGGUACAAUGAGUUGCGAGCCGGUGACGGCAAGCUAAUCUCUGAAAGCCGAUCUCAGUUCGGAUUGGAGGCUGCAACUCACCUCCAUGAAGUCGGAAUCGCUAGUAAUCGCGGAUCAGCACGCCGCGGUGAAUACGUUCCCGGGCCUUGUACACACCGCCCGUCACACCACGAGAGUUUGUAACACCCGAAGUCGGUGAGGUAACCUUUUAGGGGCCAGCCGCCUAAGGUGGGANGGAU
rnacentral:rRNA from 1 species